AGUGAUGCAUUCUCAAGAAGGAGGAGAUUAAUGAACCCUCCCCUCUUACAAUGAACAACACAUGGACACUCUCAGGAUGGCCCCUUUGCUUUCAUUAAGAGUUCCAAGAUGAGGGUCUGAUUGACUGGGGUGUGAAAUGUAACAGCCAAUGGUGUACUUAAGCUAAGACUGUCAGUCCCAAUAUUCAAGAGUGAUGCAUUCUCAAGAAGGAGGAGAUUAAUGAACCCUCCCCUCUUACAAUGAACAACACAUGGACACUCUCAGGAUGGCCCCUUUGCUUUCAUUAAGAGUUCCAAGAUGAGGGUCUGAUUGACUGGGGUGUGAAAUGUAACAGCCAGUGGUGUACUUAAGCUAAGACUGUCAGUCCCAAUAUUCAAGAGGAAAAACCCCUACAUAAACAAAUACAUGGGCGCAGACAUUUUGGACACCCAAAGUUGUGCGGAGGAGAAAAUGCUACCUGGCGCGUGAUUGGUCAAUAAGAGAAAAGACUUGAUAUGUAUUUGACAAGUGAAAUAAAGUUGAUAAAAAUGUAA